rnacentral:rRNA from 1 species
UACGGAGGGGGCUAGCGUUGUUCGGAAUUACUGGGCGUAAAGCGCACGUAGGCGGCUUUGUAAGUCAGAGGUGAAAGCCUGGAGCUCAACUCCAGAACUGCCUUUGAGACUGCAUCGCUUGAAUCCAGGAGAGGUGAGUGGAAUUCCGAGUGUAGAGGUGAAAUUCGUAGAUAUUCGGAAGAACACCAGUGGCGAAGGCGGCUCACUGGACUGGUAUUGACGCUGAGGUGCGAAAGCGUGGGGAGCAAACAGG